AGGACAGACGCUGGCGGCGUGCCUAAGACAUGCAAGUCGAACGGUGGGGCUUGCCCCACAGUGGCGGACGGGUGAGGAACGCGUGGGCAACCUGCCCCGGGGUGGGGGAUAACACUCAGAAAUGGGUGCUAAGACCGCAUACGAGUGGGGGACGGAAGGUUCCUUAGGGAAAAGCCUUCGGGCUGCCCUGGGAGGGGCCCGCGUCGGAUUAGCUAGUUGGUGUGGUAACGGCGCACCAAGGCUGCGAUCCGUAGCUGGUCUGAGAGGACGACCAGCCACACUGGGACUGAGACACGGCCCAGACUCCUACGGGAGGCAGCAGUUAGGGAAUUUUCACAAUGGGCGCAAGCCUGAUGGAGUGACGCCGCGUGCAGGACGACGCCUUUCGGGGUGUAAACUGCUUUUCUCUGUGAGGAAUAUGACAGUAGCAGAAGAAUAAGGAUCGGCUAACUCCGUGCCAGCAGCCGC
rnacentral:rRNA from 1 species